GGGCCCGUAGCUCAGCUUGGAUAGAGCGACGCUCUCCUAAGGCGAAGGUCAAGGGUUCAAAUCCCUUCGGGCCCG
rnacentral:tRNA from 1 species